rnacentral:rRNA from 1 species
GACGAACGCUGGCGGCGUGCCUAAUACAUGCAAGUCGAGCGAGCGGAACCAACAGAUUUACUUCGGUAAUGACGUUGGGAAAGCGAGCGGCGGAUGGGUGAGUAACACGUGGGGAACCUGCCCCUAAGUCUGGGAUACCAUUUGGAAACAGGUGCUAAUACCGGAUAAUAAAGCAGAUCGCAUGAUCAGCUUUUGAAAGGCGGCGUAAGCUGUCGCUAAGGGAUGGCCCCGCGGUGCAUUAGCUAGUUGGUAAGGUAACGGCUUACCAAGGCGACGAUGCAUAGCCGAGUUGAGAGACUGAUCGGCCACAUUGGGACUGAGACACGGCCCAAACUCCUACGGGAGGCAGCAGUAGGGAAUCUUCCACAAUGGACGCAAGUCUGAUGGAGCAACGCCGCGUGGGUGAAGAAGGUUUUCGGAUCGUAAAGCUCUGUUGUUGGUGAAGAAGGAUAGAGGUAGUAACUGGCCUUUAUUUGACGGUAAUCAACCAGAAAGUCACGGCUAACUAC